ACGCGUACACGCAUUCUGCCUUCACAAAUUUCGCCAAAUUCACCAUCGUCGAUCUUGAGAACCACCGGAGUAUUGGGAGAUUGGGCUGCGCGUGGGUGCCAUGACCGCCGGAGUAUUGGGAGGCUGGGCUGCGCGUGGGCGCCGUGGCUGCCGGAGUAAUGGGAGGCGGGGCUGCGCGCGGCCGCCGUGGCCGUCGGAGCAGUGGGAGGUGGGGCUGCGCGCGGCCGCCGUGGCCGUCGGAGUAGUGGGAGGUGGGGCUGCGCGCGGCCGCCGUGGCUGCCAGAGUAGUGUGAGGCGGGGCUGCGCACGGCUGCCCUGACCGCCGGACUAGUGGGAGACGGGGCUGCACUGCAUGUCUGCAUCUACUUCAGCAAGGUCAAGGACGUCGGCAGCGGCGACGACGAGCGCACUGAUGAUGUGGUUGUUACAGAGGCAGAUGUCCGCUCGGGGCAUUGCAGACAAGCGUUGCCUGCUCAGGAAGCAGCGGGUGGGAUUUUGACAAUGUCCAGGGCAUGGAUGAAGCCAAGGAGGAGCUUGUUGAGUGGGAAAGAUGGCCGGGAGGAGCAAAAAACGCAAUUGGCAUGAACAGCAUGUGACUGCUCUUGACCAUGAUUCAUUCCCUGCCAUUCAAGACCAACAAAUAGAGGGCAAGUUGCUGGACUCACCUAAAAAAAAUCUCAAGCUAUCCAAGGAAUACCCAAGUAAGGAACCUUCAUCAGCUACUCUCCAAGUAAUCUUCAUACCCUUCCCCCGGAGAUUAGUUGCUUACUAUCUAGCUAGAGAGAAAUCAAUUUGUGUGUGAUUACUGAUUGCACUAAACUUUCUUACAGUUUCUUUUCAGUAAUUGGCAGGAAAUCAGUUGCCCACUACCAGCGUGCACGCAUAAGUUGGUUACUGGCAGAACUGGAGUUGCUUAAAAACAGCCAACCUAGAUGUUGCUGCUUUAAAAAAAAAUACCACAGUCGUUGUACAAAGUAAACUAAAUUAAGAAGAGAUGCAUGAGUUGCUUACCCCUUUCCCACCCUUUUUUAUUUGCUUAAAAGUGCCCCAAUAGUUGCCACGCUUUUUUCACAUCUUUUUAGUUCUAGCACGCAUAACCAAACAAGAGUUGUUUGCUCUUAACACCUUUUUUGCUCAAAGCAAAGCCUAGAAGUUGCUGGCCUUUUUGUUUUAUUUUGUUUUUUGACACUUUUUUCUACUCCAAAAGCAACCUAAAAACACAAUAGCCAGUAUUUGCAAAAAAUGAAAUCAAAAAACAGAUGUCGUGCUCAUGUCCUGCCAAGAGUUGCUUGCUGUCAGACAUGAUUUGCUUACAAAAUCCAUUAUAAUUGCUCACUUUUUGGUUUUGCCCUUUUUUUGGUAACAGGUGCCAUACAAAAACAAUACUAGAUUCUCACAGAUCUGGAAAAAAUGAGGGAGAGCACUGGGACGAAGAAGGUGCAAUCAGAUUUGUAUAAACAAGAUUUGCAGGGUCCUUCUAGUUGUGGGGGAGGAAAGGAUACGCAGUUUGCAUGGGGAGAAGAUGGGCGUAGGGUAGGGUGAGGACAGAGAGAGGUUGAUCAAGCACGUGAUUGGGGGGCUGGAGGAAAGCGUGCGAGCUGCGGCUUGAUGCGCCUCUCUAGCGCAGGCUCAAGGGUUGGGGCGUGUGGGGACUGAUUCUUUUCCUUUUCUGUCCCGCCAGCUGUUUAGGGUUUUUCAAUUUCUUUUUUGGGUGUGUGCUCUAGAUUACUAACCAGCCAACAGGUGCUCCCUAGUCACGUCCUUGUUGCUGAUUAUUACGUACUCAAUGUGGACACUUAAUGCUCACAUUAGACAAGAUGGAGAAAAUCAGCCAUUAAUUAA